rnacentral:rRNA from 1 species
CUGGUUGAUCCUGCCGGAGGCUACUGCUAUUGGAAUCCGAUUAAGCCAUGCGAGUCUAAAGGACUUCGGUCCUUGGCGGACGGCUCAGUAACACGUGGAGAACCUGCCCUCAGGAGGGGGAUAACCCCGGGAAACUGGGAAUAAUACCCCAUAGGUCUAGGAUGCUGGAAUGCUUCUAGGCUGAAAGCUCCGGCGCCUGAGGAUGGCUCUGCGGCUUAUCAGGUUGUAGUGGGGGUAACGGCCCCACUAGCCUACGACGGGUACGGGCCUUGGGAGAGGGAGCCCGGAGAUGGACUCUGAGACACGAGUCCAGGCCCUACGGGGCGCAGCAGGCGCGAAACCUCCGCAAUGCGCGAAAGCGCGACGGGGGGACUCCCAGUGCCUACGCUCAGCGUAGGCUGUUCCCGAGCCUACAAAGCUCGGGGAGUAAGGGCUGGGUAAGACGGGUGCCAUCUGUGACGGCAGUCAAAAUUUGGCUUGCCGUUGCAAGGCAUAAGCCGCCGCGGUAAUACCCGCAGCCCGAGUGGUGGCCGCUAUUAUUGGGCCUAAAGCGUCCGUAGCCGGCCCGGUAAAUGCCUGGGUAAAUCGUCUGGCCCAACCAGACGAAUUCCGGGUAGACUGCCGGGCUAGGGACCGGAGGAGGGAGAGGGUACUCCAGGGGUAGGGGUGAAAUCAGCAAAGUGAGUUGCAGAUGCGACUUGCUUUGCAAGUCACAAUCCUGUAAUCCCUGGAGGACCACCGGUGGCGAAGGCGCUCUCCUAGGACGGGUCCGACGGUGAGGGACGAAAGCCAGGGGAGCAAACCGGAUUAGAUACCCGGGUAGUCCUGGCCGUAAACGAUGCGGGCUUUGUAUUGGAAUGGCUACGAGCCGUUCCAGUGCCGUAGGGAAGCCGUUAAGCCCGCCGCCUGGGGAGUACGGUCGCAAGGCUGAAACUUAAAGGAAUUGGCGGGGGAGCACCGCAACGGGAGGAGCGUGCGGUUUAAUUGGAUUCAACGCCGG